GAGGUUGUGGCUCAGUGGUAGAGCGCUCACCUAGCAUGUGUGAGGAGCUGGGUUCGAUCCUCAGCACCACA
rnacentral:tRNA from 1 species